rnacentral:rRNA from 1 species
GAGUUUGAUCGUGGCUCAGAAUAAACGCUGGCAGCGUGCCUAACACAUGCAAGUCGAGCGAGAAAGUUCCUUCGGGAACUAGUAAAGCGGCGAACGGUUGAGUAACACGUGAGAAUCUACCCUUCAGUGAGGAAUACCACCGAGAAAUCGGUGUUAAUACUGCAUACGUCCCUUCGGGGAGAAAGGUGGCUUUAAUGCUGCCGCUGAUGGAUGAGCUUGCGAGCUAUCAGUUAGUUGGUGAGGUAAUGGCUCACCAAGGCUAUGACGGCUAUCCGGCCUGAGAGGGUGUACGGACAGACUGGGACUUAGACACGGCCCAGACUCCUACGGGAGGCAGCAGUGGGGAAUAUUGCGCAAUGGGCGAAAGCCUGACGCAGCGACGCCGCGUGAAGGAUGAAGGUCUUCGGAUUGUAAACUUCUGUUAAGUGGGAAGAAAGAUGCAUUUUUAAUAGAAAUGUGUGAUGACGGUACCGUAAGAAGAAGCA